UGUAUGUAUAUCCACACUUCUCACUGAUCUCAAACUCUUCUUAUAUAAUUUGUCUUGAUUUUCUAUUUUAGUUAAUGCAGAAUGAUUCUGUAAGAAUCUCUUUCUCUUGACAUUUCUCGACAAACAAUCCAGGUUUUCUUACUAAAUAAAGAUGUUAAAGACAAAUAACAUGAGCACAUUACAAGUAUACUUCACUGGUACAUGACAAGUUCAAUUCUUGUAAUAACUCGAAGAGUACUACGAUGACAUCACCCCCCGAAAAAUUAGAAGCCGAAAAAGAAGAUUCGUCAAAAACCGUAUUCUCGAAAUAUUACGAGUACUUACCGUACAACCGCCACCGCAAAGAAAGUGUACUCAAUCUCCUGCAUUUUCGAGAAACGGGGUUAACUAAUAGAUACAACAACUAUAAUUCAUCGAAGA